CUGGCAGUCGAAAGCACUUGAUAGGGACAGCCCAGGCCCCAUCCCAAAGCGACCUGGGAUCUCGGUCGCCCAGGCUGCGUGGGGACCGAGGCGCGGCUGUCCCCGCCAACCUCGCACGUGCGCUCGUACACGUAGGCGGGAGCCGCGGGCGGUCCCGCACCCCGCACACCGGCCGGCAGCAGCCGGGCGCUGCGCCCAGGCACGUACAGGGGCGGGGCCAGCGAGACCGAGGCAGCCUUUCCAUCCGCAGCAGGUAGCACCGCGCUCGCCUGCCCGGUGCAGGAGUAGCAGGCUCCCCGCCUGCCAGCUAGGGUCAGGCUGCGCUGCUCUCAGGCACCUGCUUUUCUCUGCGUUCCGGAAUUCAGCCAAGACGGAAUAAAGGAAAUUACACAGUAAGCGGAGAUCGGGUGUCUGAGCAGCGUCUUGGAUAAAAUCCACCCAUGACAGGUCUAUUAUAUCCCUGUAGAACUCACCAGCAUCCAGAAGCUUCCUCACACGUAAGUAACUGAUGGUGAGCCUCAUAACAGAAGCUUUAUCAAGAUGGGAGCUCACAUUGUGGGGAAGUGGCAGCUGAUGA